rnacentral:rRNA from 1 species
AUUGAACGCUGGCGGCAUGCCUUACACAUGCAAGUCGAACGGCAGCACGGGUGCUUGCACCUGGUGGCGAGUGGCGAACGGGUGAGUAAUACAUCGGAACAUGUCCUGUAGUGGGGGAUAGCCCGGCGAAAGCCGGAUUAAUACCGCAUACGAUCUACGGCUGAAAGCGGGGGACCUUCGGGCCUCGCGCUAUCGGGUUGGCCGAUGGCUGAUUAGCUAGUUGGUGGGGUAAAGGCCUACCAAGGCGACGAUCAGUAGCUGGUCUGAGAGGACGACCAGCCACACUGGGACUGAGACACGGCCCAGACUCCUACGGGAGGCAGCAGUGGGGAAUUUUGGACAAUGGGCGCAAGCCUGAUCCAGCAAUGCCGCGUGUGUGAAGAAGGCCUUCGGGUUGUAAAGCACUUUUGUCCGGAAAGAAAUCCUUGGCCCUAAUACGGUCGGGGGAUGACGGUACCGGAAGAAUAAGCACCGGCUAACUACGUG